AGUUAAUGAACUUGAUAAAAGUAUAUAUUUUGAAAAUAUAAAAAAGAAAAUAAAAUUUCUAUUAACUU
rnacentral:tRNA from 1 species